GGGGCGGCCGAGCGGAGCCCCCGCCCCGCCCCGCCGGGAGCCGGAAUUCCCCGUGACAGCCGGCGUCUGAGGCGGAACGGGAACGGCGGUGGGAAGCUGGCUUCUCACCGUACCGCUCCCGAGGAGGCCGGAUGCUGCGCAGGCAGGGACCGCCCCGGCACUGCGCCUGCAGGCGUCAGGCGGCUCCUUGCACGCCGCAGGGAGCAGGAAAAGCUUACGCGUGGAGACCCUUGGAGACACGUCGGUAUUGUUGGGAGUAAUACUCCAUUCGAAGCAGUUUCCUCUCCCUUCCUCCGUAUAAUGGAGAAUAAAUCCAUGGCUUGGCCUAAGUGCAGGUGAAGUAACAUCCGAUCACGUCGGGCAAAGGAAUCGCUCUUUGCUGCAGAAGCGCAAAAAGACGGCUGCUAUUCCAAGUAACAACACAUCGCAUCUUCCUGUAUCUGGGAGACUCACUGGGACACUACAGUGCAGAGGGUGGACACUUAGAUGAGAAAAGAUGCAUAUAUGUCAGGCUCGGAGGGAAGGGUCCAUGGGUUUACUCUGCUGGAAGGCAGCAGCAAGCAGAGAAUGGCAGGAGCCCGUUCUCUUGGCAUCUUUCUCAGAGGCUUUUGAGCAGGAGACAGUCUGUGCUCAACAAGCUUGCAGGCGGUGCUAAAGCAGGAACAGUGAGCGCUGAAGGACAGAGCUGCCAUUUAAAUGGAUCUAGACCGGUUGGGUGAAUGACCUGACAGGAAGUCUGUAAAACUCAGCAAGGACAAAUACAAGGAAAUUUGACAAGUCCUGCACUUGGGAAGGAACAGGCCUCUGCAACAGUACAAGGUGGGGACUGAUGGGCUGUGGAGCAGCUUUGCAGGAAAGGAUGUGGGGUCUCGUUGGACAGCAUGUUGGACAGCACUGUGUCCUGGCAGUGAAGGCAGCCAAGAGCAUCCCAGGUCAUACCACUGGAAGCAUAGCCAGUAGGCUAAAGAAAGUGUUUAUUUAUUUCUGCUCAGCUGUUUGUGAAAUAGUGUAUCCAGUUUGGGGUCCCAAAAUGCAAGGAAAAUCUCAACAAACUAAAACAAGUUCAGUGGAAGCCACCAAGUGCUCCAGGGAAAGGUGCAGCACUUGCCCUGUGAGCAGAAUCUGAGCUAACCACCUGGAUUAACUUGAAGAAGAGACAGCUUAAAAUACUUCAGCAUACAGGACACAGCCUAGCAUAUACAUUACCAGCAAAAAAACCCAAAGGUGAAAUAAUACACUAUAUAAACAAUUCUGCACCUUGGAAAAGGAUGAAAAAUAUAAUGAAACAUACAUAACUGAUGUUAGUUGCAUUCAAAAUGAUACUGAUGAGGCCAAUGUGUGAAUUUACAGUUCUGGAACAGGGUAGCACUCAUGAAGGAUUCAUGUGCACCCCACACAAAUGCAGCUAAUUUGCCACUUGGCAGUCCUGCGUAAACAGUGCAAGAAAGAAUGUGUUAACAGGUAGCAACAACAGGCAAAAUAAAUACAGAGCCAGCAUAGCCAGGAUCUGCUUAACAGUUCAACAUAGGGAAAUGCAAAGUCCUGCACCUGGGGAGCAGCAGCCCUAGGUGCCUGUACAUGCAGGGGGCUGUCCCAGCAGCUUUGUGGGAAGAAUAACAGUAUUCGGGGCUGCAUGUUGCCAGCAGGUUGAGAGAGUUGAUUCUGCUUCUCUCCUCAGCACUAGUGAGGCUGAACCUGCUAAGCUCCCCAAUACAAGGGAGAUACAAAGCUACUGGAGAGGGUUCAACAGAGGGUCGCUAAGGUAUUUGGGGAUUGGCGCACCUCUCCUGUGAAGAGGGGCUGGAGGAGAUGGGGCUGUUCUGGCUGGAGAAGAGAGUGCUUAGAAGAGGAUCUUAUUGAUGUGUAUAAAUACCUGAAGGGAAGAUACAAAGAGGAUGAAGCCAGGGGUUAAACCACAACAGUCUUUUCUGCAGUUAUCCAACACUGACUCCACUUGUAUAAAAAUUCCAUAAGUCAGUUUUAACCUCAACUUUCAGGCUGUUUCACUUUUUAAUUAAUUCUGUAGCAAAUGGUAGCAUUUUCGUUUCCAGUAUGCAGUAAAACUUUUUAUGCUAGAUACCUAAAACUUAUCAGAAGUAUAAAGUUUUAGAAACAUAAACCCUCAGAUUUGCUACAUCUCUUUAUAUUUGUGGAGUGGGUCCUCUUGAUGUUACCAUUUUUGUCAGGAUUAAGGUUCAGCCAACAGUUUUCAUCUAAUGAAAACACCUACCUGAAAAUUCUGGCCUGCUACUAGGGCAAAGAAGUUAUAACUGGCUGGAGGGAAAUAAUCAACUGCUUUGUUUCAUUUUGAAGAUCUGAUGAUAGGAUGGAGGAAAAGAAAGGAAAUAGGCUGCUACAUGCUAUAAACAAGAAGAAAAAUUCCUAAUACCAGCAGAACUAGGCUGUGGGCAGAGCUCAGCAGGAUGGAGACUGUACAGCUGGUGGUUAUCAUGCCCGGGCUUCACCAACCUGACCCACACAGCUGUAAGCCAUACUUUGAUUUUGUGAGGAAGCAUUGAUGUAAGGGACCAGCUCUGAGCCCUCAAAGCAUGAUGGAACUUGCUGUGCCUUUUCUGUACUAAUGUGUUGGGCAUCUGAAGAGCUCUGUCAGUAAGACUGAGAAGGAUAUGAGAAAGCCAUGGACUGUUGUGGGUGCUCCAAACUAUGAGGCUGCACUGAGCCUAUUGGAAGAAAUCAGAUCACCUCCUUUCUCAGGGUGUGCACACACCCUUGAAUGAUAAGCAAUUUCCUGGGGAAAUUUCUGGGCAACCCCUUCUUUUGUAAGGCAAUUAAUUUUCCUGGUGGAGGGCAAUGAUCUGUACAUUGUAGGAGGACAAGGGGAUGCUGUGAGGAAAUUCACUUGGAAGAAGGUGAUCAGAGGCUGGAAACAGAGCCGGCUUCUACCUCCCACAGUGGCUUGCUUUCAUCUUUCAGUGUUUAUUUCCCAGGCAUGCUGCCAGCCUGGGGUGUGUGCUGCCAACAAUGCAGCGCUGCGGGGCACAGUGCCCUCAGUUUGCCAUUCCUGGGUGACAUUGCCCACUUUCUGUGCUAUGGGCCACCGUGGUUGCUUCACUAGCCCCGAGCUGCCACAUUAACCAUGGUUCCUUAGCCCAUAUCUGCUGGGUCAUUGCUGCCCUGUGUGUCCCUGGCUGAUCCUGCUUCUGUGUUGCAAAUUGUCUGACCCUGGCAACCUCUGCAGCUCUGGAACCCAGCACUCUCUCCCACUCCCUUGUCCAGAGUUUAUCCUCUCUGCAGCCUAGAUCAAUUCUGAGAAAGCAAAUGCAGGCAUAAACCUUAAAUACAACUUUUUCAUUCCAGUUUAAUAAGUUUGAUGAAGUUAGUCAACGUACAUGUUCUCCCCUCACUCCUAACAGCAUCAGCCACAUACCAAACCUCAGUGUCAGGGCUUGUAAAACUGAAUUGGAGCUCAGCAAGGCAAAAGAGCACUUUUCAGUUCUGGUUGAUGUGGCAAGCAGCCUUCUCUGCAGACCCAGCAUCGUGCCCAGAAAUCUGUGUGUCUGUGGAACUGAGGUGCAACUACAAUGGUUCCCCACUUUGCAUAGGUGUUAAUAGUGACUCCUCCUGCGAGAAAAAGGACAGCUAGGCUCCAGGACAGCUUCAGGCAGGCACAACACAUGCAGUGACAUUGAAAAGUACUCUGACAUGUCCAAGCACCACCCAAGACUGUACAAUAAUAAAACAUAUUAUUACACACUUCCAACCAUGAAUGUUCUCCAAAGCAAUUUGAUAUUAAACUCCAAAUCAUCUGUCUGGAUGAGUUUUUACAGAUUGUGACAGCAGAGCCAGCCAGGAAUGAUAUUAGAGUGCUUGAGGCACAGUGCUGUUUCAUGGAAAACAAGGAACAAUUAAAAAUUUAAAAAGUCCCAAAAUUCCUUUUCUCAAACGGGAUUUGUGGAACUGCUGAGAUUAGAGCCAUUCCUAUUCAAGCAGCUGUAUUCCUGAGGAGAUCUUCGUUUGUGCCUGUUUAGUCUGAAAGAUCUGGUUUAUUUCACCAGGGCAGAAUACUAAUGUGAGCUGGUGGUUCUGUUCUCUGCACUUGUUUCGUUUUCCUUCCUUUCUUCUGCAGCAAUGCAUUUGCACAAAUUUUCAGGCUACAGCAACAGUAGGAAGAGGUUGGGUUGAAGCCUAAUUACAC